rnacentral:rRNA from 1 species
UGGGGAAUAUUGCACAAUGGGCGCAAGCCUGAUGCAGCCAUGCCGCGUGUAUGAAGAAGGCCUUCGGGUUGUAAAGUACUUUCAGCGGGGAGGAAGGUGUUGAGGCUAAUAACCUCAGCAAUUGACGUUACCCGCAGAAGAAGCACCGGCUAACUCCGUGCCAGCAGCCGCGGUAAUACGGAGGGUGCAAGCGUUAAUCGGAAUUACUGGGCGUAAAGCGCACGCAGGCGGUCUGUCAAGUCGGAUGUGAAAUCCCCGGGCUCAACCUGGGAACGGCAUUCGAAACUGGCAGGCUAGAGUCUUGUAGAGGGGGGUAGAAUUCCAGGUGUAGCGGUGAAAUGCGUAGAGAUCUGGAGGAAUACCGGUGGCGAAGGCGGCCCCCUGGACAAAGACUGACGCUCAGGUGCGAAAGCGUGGGGAGCAAACA